GUUGCAGUAGCUCAGUGGUAGGUCUCCCGCUUCGUACGCCGGAAGAUCUGGGUUCGAUUCCCGGUUGCUUUC
rnacentral:tRNA from 1 species